UAGGGAAUUUUCCGCAAUGGGCGCAAGCCUGACGGAGCAACGCCGCGUGAGGGACGAAGGUCUUCGGAUUGUAAACCUCUUUGGAGCGAGACGAACGAGCUUUCGGUGAACAGCCGGAGGCAGUGACUGUAUCGCUAGAACAAGUCACGGCUAACUCUGUGCCAGCAGCCGCGGUAAUACAGAGGUGACAAACGUUGUCCGGAAUUAUUGGGCGUAAAGGGCGCGUAGGUGGUUGAGUAAGUCAGGUGUGAAAGCUCUGGGCUUAACCCAGGAAUUGCAUCUGAUACUGCUCAGCUUGAGUACGGUAGAGGAGGGUGGAAUUCCCAGUGUAGCGGUGAAAUGCGUAGAUAUUGGGAGGAACACCGGUGGCGAAGGCGGCCCUCUGGACCGAAACUGACACUGAAGCGCGAAAGCUAGGGGAGCAAACGG
rnacentral:rRNA from 1 species